rnacentral:rRNA from 1 species
GACGAACGCUGGCGGCGUGCUUAACACAUGCAAGUCGAACGGAAAGGCCCUGCUUUUGUGGGGUGCUCGAGUGGCGAACGGGUGAGUAACACGUGAGUAACCUGCCCUUGACUUUGGGAUAACUUCAGGAAACUGGGGCUAAUACCGGAUAGGAGCUCCUGCUGCAUGGUGGGGGUUGGAAAGUUUCGGCGGUUGGGGAUGGACUCGCGGCUUAUCAGCUUGUUGGUGGGGUAGUGGCUUACCAAGGCUUUGACGGGUAGCCGGCCUGAGAGGGUGACCGGCCUCAGUGGGACUGAGGGACGAGACAGACUCGUACGGGAGGCAGCGGGGGGAAAUCUUGAACAGCGGGAGGAAGACUGAGGCAGCAACGGUGCGGGCGGGAGGACGGCCUGUUGGUAGUAAACCGCAGUCGGCUAUGACGGAGCGGGAGUGACGGUAAUGGGUGAAGAAGCACCGGCUAACUACGUG